UGCCCAGCAACUCCUAUCCCUGCCUCCACGCGGUACCGGCCGGAAACUAUGAGCAACCUUAGGGAAGA
rnacentral:ribozyme from 1 species